AGCUGUUCCCCUCUGGAGGUUUAAAUUACCUUCACAACUAUAAGGGCCCAAGUUCUUCUUGUGGCCCUCUUUUUUUCCUUGU
rnacentral:sRNA from 2 species